rnacentral:tRNA from 1 species
AAUUAAUGAGCUUGUUUUAAGCAUUUGUUUUGAAAACUUAAGAAAGAAUAAU